rnacentral:antisense_RNA from 1 species
ACAACUGCAGCGAGAGAAGAGGCUGGCAGCAUGGGUGGCAGGAGGCUUGGCAGCCUCACAGGAUGCCUGCAAAUACCUUUCACUUAUGCAGUUUGGCAGUGCAGUGGUGCAUGGAGACAGCGUCUUGGGCCUGGCACCCACAGCCACUUAGGAAGUUGGAGUCCUGGAGAGGAGAACACAGAACGUGGACAACUAGCUGUCAAAUUGCAGUAAAAGUUGGUUCAGGAAAAGUGGAAGCUACCCAGAUGUCUACCAAUUGAGAUGAACCAUCCAAUCUCCUGCCUCGAGUAUUGAAGCCUGGCUACUGUGACUGUGGGGAAGGGAUUAACGGUCUCAGCAUUCAGUGCUUUCCAGUGCCCCAAAGACAGAGAUGUUAAAUGCUGCAUUGCCCACAUUCCCUUGGAGCUGGUGUUCUUCAUGUCUGCCAAGGGGAUAUAUUAACACUGGAUAUUGGGAAGGCAGAAGCAAGCACCAUAUAGCAUGGCCCAGCAGCUCUUUCGAAAGGCAAGGUGGUGGAUGCAUUUGGUUCUUCUGAGGCACAUGUGGAGAAGUAGUGUCCACUCCUAGCUUUAUGGGUGUCAAGUAGAGGGCACCUGUAAAAAUAGCAACUAGGGAUUUCGUGGAACACUCCUAUACAGUGAUUGGAACUUCUCAUGGCUGUAUGGCUGCUGGCUAUGUAUCAUCUAAGCUCAUCCCAAACUUCUUAAGACCUCCGGUCUGUAAAGGUCACAUUUCAAAGGCCAGAUCUUUCCCAGGCUUAAGCUGUUCCUUGGAUACUUUUGCUGAUGGUUACACAUCUUCUUCCCACAUUAUAUUGUAACUUUCUU